rnacentral:rRNA from 1 species
CAGCAGCCGCGUAAUACGAAGGGUGCAAGCGUUACUCGGAAUUACUGGGCGUAAAGCGUGUGUAGGUGGUUGUUUAAGUCUGUCGUGAAAGCCCUAGGCUCAACCUGGGAAUUGCGAUGGAUACUGGGCGACUAGAGUGCGGUAGAGGAUAGUGGAAUCUCCGGUGUAGCAGUGAAAUGCGUAGAGAUCGGAAGGAACAUCUGUGGCGAAGGCGACUAUCUGGGCCAACACUGACACUGAGACACGAAAGCGUGGGGAGCAAACAGGAUUAGAGACCCCCGUAGUCCCUGUCUCUUAUACA